AUUGAACGCUGGCGGCAGGCUUAACACAUGCAAGUCGAACGAUGAUUAUCUAGCUUGCUAGAUAUGAUUAGUGGCGGACGGGUGAGUAACAUUUAGGAAUCUGCCUAGUAGUGGGGGAUAGCUCGGGGAAACUCGAAUUAAUACCGCAUACGACCUACGGGUGAAAGGGGGCGCAAGCUCUUGCUAUUAGAUGAGCCUAAAUCAGAUUAGCUAGUUGGUGGGGUAAAGGCCCACCAAGGCGACGAUCUGUAACUGGUCUGAGAGGAUGAUCAGUCACACCGGAACUGAGACACGGUCCGGACUCCUACGGGAGGCAGCAGUGGGGAAUAUUGGACAAUGGGGGCAACCCUGAUCCAGCCAUGCCGCGUGUGUGAAGAAGGCCUUUUGGUUGUAAAGCACUUUAAGCAGGGAGGAGAGGCUAAUGGUUAAUACCCAUUAGAUUAGACGUUACCUGCAGAAUAAGCACCGGCUAACUCUGUGCCAGCAGCCGCGGUAAUACAGAGGGUGCGAGCGUUAAUCGGAAUUACUGGGCGUAAAGUGAGUGUAGGUGGCUCAUUAAGUCACAUGUGAAAUCCCCGGGCUUAACCUGGGAACUGCAUGUGAUACUGGUGGUGCUAGAAUAUGUGAGAGGGAAGUAGAAUUCCAGGUGUAGCGGUGAAAUGCGUAGAGAUCUGGAGGAAUACCGAUGGCGAAGGCAGCUUCCUGGCAUAAUAUUGACACUGAGAUUCGAAAGCGUGGGUAGCAAACAGGAUUAGAUACCCUGGUAGUCCACGCCGUAAACGAUGUCUACUAGCCGUUGGGGUCCUUGAGACUUUAGUGGCGCAGUUAACGCGAUAAGUAGACCGCCUGGGGAGUACGGCCGCAAGGUUAAAACUCAAAUGAAUUGACGGGGGCCCGCACAAGCGGUGGAGCAUGUGGUUUAAUUCGAUGCAACGCGAAGAACCUUACCUGGUCUUGACAUAGUGAGAAUCCUGCAGAGAUGCGGGAGUGCCUUCGGGAAUUCACAUACAGGUGCUGCAUGGCUGUCGUCAGCUCGUGUCGUGAGAUGUUGGGUUAAGUCCCGCAACGAGCGCAACCCUUUUCCUUAUUUGCCAGCGGGUUAAGCCGGGAACUUUAAGGAUACUGCCAGUGACAAACUGGAGGAAGGCGGGGACGACGUCAAGUCAUCAUGGCCCUUACGACCAGGGCUACACACGUGCUACAAUGGUAGGUACAGAGGGUUGCUACACAGCGAUGUGAUGCUAAUCUCAAAAAGCCUAUCGUAGUCCGGAUUGGAGUCUGCAACUCGACUCCAUGAAGUCGGAAUCGCUAGUAAUCGCAGAUCAGAAUGCUGCGGUGAAUACGUUCCCGGGCCU
rnacentral:rRNA from 1 species